GGGGUUUUAUGACCAAAAAAUGGCAAUUUUGGGGUUGGUUUUAUGUCCAAAAAUGGGAAUUUGGGGUCUUAUGACCAAAAAUUGGAGUUUUGAGUUGGUUUUAUGUCCAAAAAAUGGCAGUUUGGGGGUCUUAUGUCCAAAAAUUGGAGUUUUAGGUAGGUUUAAGUCCAAAAAUGGGAAUUUGGGGUUGGUUUUACGUCCAAAAAAUGGCAAUUUUGGGGGGUUUUAUGUCCAAAAAUGGGAAUUUAGGGUUGGUUUUAUGUCCAAAAAAAGGGAAUUUUGGGGUCUUAUGUCCAAAAAAUGGGAAUUUGGGGCUUUUAUGUCCAAAAAAUGGCAAUUUUGGGGUCUUAUGUCCAAAAAAUGGCAAUUUUGGGUUGGUUUUAUGUCCAAAAGUGGCAAUUUGGGAGUUUUAUGUCCAAAAAACGGGAAUUUAGGGGUUGGUUUUAUGUCCAAAAAAUGGGAAAUUUGGGGUCUUAUGUCCAAAAAAUGGCAAUUUGGGGGGUUUUAUGUCAAAAAAAAAUGGGAAUUUUGGGUUGGUUUUAUUCCAAAAACUGGCAAGUUUGGGGGUUUUAAGUCCAAAAAAUGGCAAUUUUGGGGUCUUACAUCCAAAAAAUGGCAAUUUUGGGGUCUUACAUCCAAAAAAUGGCAAUUUUGGGGCCAAAAAGGGACAUUUUGGCUUUUUAGGGAAAAAAAGAAAAGCAUUAGGGGGGACAAAAAAGGAGAUUUGAGGGGCAAAAAAAUGGGAAUUUGGGGUUUUAUGUCCAAAAAAUGGGAAUUUGUGGGGUUUUAUGACCAUAUUUAGGAUCCACCCCGUAUUUGGGGUCCCCUUUAUAUUUUAAGAAUCCCCCCCAUAUUUUGGGAUCCCCCCCAUAUUUCAGGCCCCCCCCCAUAUUUGGGGUCCCCUUUAUAUUUCAGAGCCCCCCCAU
rnacentral:lncRNA from 1 species